UACGUAGGGUGCAAGCGUUGUCCGGAAUUAUUGGGCGUAAAGAGCUCGUAGGCGGUCUGCUGCGUCGGCCGUGAAAACCUGCAGCUUAACUGUGGGCGUGCGGUCGAUACGGGCAUCACUGGAGUUCGGCAGGGGAGACUGGAAUUCCUGGUGUAGCGGUGAAAUGCGCAGAUAUCAGGAGGAACACCGGUGGCGAAGGCGGGUCUCUGGGCCGAUACUGACGCUGAGGAGCGAAAGCAUGGGGAGCGAACAGG
rnacentral:rRNA from 1 species